UUAAAUUGAAGAGUUUGAUCAUGGCUCAGAUUGAACGCUGGCGGCAGGCCUAACACAUGCAAGUCGAACGGUAACAGGAAGCAGCUUGCUGCUUCGCUGACGAGUGGCGGACGGGUGAGUAAUGUCUGGGAAA
rnacentral:rRNA from 8 species